AAAGAAGGAAAAAAAAAGAGAAAAAGUUUUUCUUUUUUCUCAACCAGAAACACAAAACACAAAGAACAAACAAAAGAGAACA
rnacentral:ribozyme from 14 species